GUGUCCAGCCCUUAAUGAAGAGGAGACCCAAAGUGGGUAGCUCCUUUCUGCAGCUGGUAGUCCCUAUGUCUGUGUGAAUCUGGCUGAGUCUGGGAUUUUUAUGGGCUCAGAAAGGAGGAAGUGUGUGCCAAUUGGUCCAUGAGUGGCCAUGGGCAGGCCUGGAAAAAGCAUCAUAAGUUCUCACUCUGGGUCACAGACUCCACCUAGAACCGGCAAACUGGCACCCAGGCUUCAGGCCGUCCCUGGCUUGAAGGUGGGGUUUCACCAGAGAACCACCCCUUUCUAUCCAGGAACCUGUCUGCCUGCUGCCAUCAACAUGCCAUCUAUGGCAUCCAGGUGGUUUGUGCUGAGGUGCACCUGAAAGUCCGUGCUGAGCUGCCCUCAGCACCCCCCCGGACUCCAUCCCACACUUGUCAGGGCCCAAAAUCCAGAGGGAGCUGAGGUGGCAGGAGGCUGGCAUGGCAGUUCCACCCUGGGCACGUACACACCCAGCAGGGUUGCAACAGCACCUGGGAUUGGCCACAACUUUGCUCCAAAUUUGGAGCAUGCAACAGCCCCUGAGAUUCAGUAAAGGAUGCUCCAAUUCAGUAAAGGGCAGGGCUCUUACCUGUUUCUGGCCCCUGCCAGUCCCCCAGAGUACACAGCCCCAGUCACACCUCCCCUGCUACAGCCAGCAUCUUUGCUGUGGUGGCUCCAGACAGGCUGCCACUGCCAUCAAGGAGUGAUUAUUAAAGGCAUUAAGACAUCUCCCUUGCUGCAGCUGGCAUCUUCGCUGUAACGGAUGCAGAUGGGCUGCAGCCACCAUCAAGGGGUAAUUAUUAAAGGCAUUAAGAGAGAAUGUCCAGCAUCAGAGCUGAAAUUAAUGCCAGAAUUCACACACAUCCUAUUUAUACUGCCAUCAGUCACAUGGAUUUGCACUUUUAGUGAGCAUUGUCUUUCCAGUAUAUAAUAUUUAAUCUUUAAUAAAACUGUUUUUAAAAAAACUGUAUUAGACAGUUGUCCUUCACAAAGUGCUUAGUUAUUGGAACAUACAUUUUUGUGCAAAUGCAACUAUUUCUUGGGAGUGUUUUCAAGAAACAGAUCAAAAAUGAGAUACAAGGAGGUGAAAUUGACUUUAAUUGUACUUGUAAUUUAGUUGUAUAAGGUGGCUAGGCAAACAGAAAAAGAGCUCAGGUUUAUCUAAGAGAGACAUCAUAGGGUAGAGAUCAAACAUUUUCUCCUAAAUUCUAUGGCAGAAGAUAGAAAACCUUAAGAACUCUUUUACAAAGAAUGUCCUAGGGAAGUACAGAACAGAAUAUAAGGCAGAUGCCUGUGAAACUGUACCGUGGGAAAGGGGCUAGUAGUCAAGCCAAGAAAGGAAAAGACAGCUCGGAAUGCUAUUGAAAAAUACUCCACUAAUGAAAGAAGAGAAAACCGACAUUCACAAUCCCUCUGUAGCCACUGUGAGAGCAGAUGUUCAUGAAGGUUCCUCUCUGCUGGUGGCUUGGCCAACUCUAAUUUAGUCCUUAACUUCAAUCAUGGACACCCUCCAACUCAGUCACCACCUGGGCCCGAAGUCAGUAUUUUAUUUCUCAUUAGGCAUGGGAGGAAAGGAAAUAACUGCUCAUUAACAGUGAAUGAAAUCUUUUAAAAUGAAAUCUUUUAAAAGGUAAGUCUGAUCUGAAAUAGAAAGCCAGCCAUUUGGGUGUCACAAAAUAAGCUUAAUUGGAUCAGCCAGUGUGAGUUUUUUUUAAUCCAUGCAUUCUCCUGAUUAAAUACUUUCAGUGAACGCUUGCUGCUCUAUGGCUGGAAGGACACAUCCCUCCUUGUCUUGCAGGCAGCUGCAGGAACUGGCUUCCCUGCCCCUCUUGCCACAUAUUUGUCCUCCCCGUCAAGCUUCCACAUCAAGCUUCAUCCCCACACAGGGCUUUGGUCUCGCUCUUGCUCUGCCCCAGAUUCCUUGCCUCUUGCCUUUUUUCCAUGACUAGCAUCUUCUCCUCUUUGUUGAAAUGGCCCCUCAGCAGACAGGCUGUUUCUAAUUACCCUACCUACUGCCACUUCCCCAGUUAUUCUUACCCCAGCCUCCUGAAUUUCCAUAACAGCACCACUUUUGAUCUAUCUUUAUUCCGCAUAUUCAUUUCUUUACUUGUUUAUUGCCUGAUUCAUUCAGUAGAAUGAAAACUCCAGAUAACGAAGCACUAGUUAUUCCACCCUCCACCGUACCCACAGGCGACACAGCACUUGUUACAUAGGAGGUACUCAAAAGAUGUUGAUCCAUGAGUGAAGUUAAAUAGUAAUUCAAUCAAAAUGCUUCAUUUUGACAGUGAUUUAAAAAAAAAUUGAUAUAAACUGUUGGCCAGUAUGGACAGGCACCACAUUUAUGGGAUAUUGGAUUUUUCAGCUGAGAUUGGAUUGUCGGCUGUGGACACACUUAUUUUCCUGUACUUACUCUCUGACAACCUUUCUCCAAUGCAAAAUGAUUACAGAUUAUUAAACCCAAUGAGGUUUAGAGUUUCUCUAGUUUUUCUAGGUUUCUGAAGAGAAUGAUAUCAUGGAAAUACUCAAAGAAGCAGUGCAAAAGGUAGGUUCUGAGAGAGAACUUUCGUCUGCAGGUGCUACUGAAAGGGAGCGGUGGAGGGGAUGCCCUGGAGUUCCUGGGGUACUGCCCUCAGGAGAACGCGCUGUGGCCCAACCUGACAGUGAGGCAGCACCUGGAGGUGUACGCCGCCGUGAAAGGGCUGAGGAAAGGAGAUGCUGAGGUUGCCAUCACACGGUACACAGAGGAGCCACCUCUGUUCUAUACCCAAGGGAGGGGUGGAGGAGAAGGUUGGGAGUGACAACCCUCACAGGAAAUUCAGGAUGGGAGACUCUAAAUGCUGACCCAGGUCACACUGGGUAGAUUUACAACUAGAAACUCCUUUCCUGGAUAUCAAAGUGUUAAGUUUCUUUCUCAUAUUAAAUAAGAAAAUUUAAAAAGGCUGGCCGCAGCGGCUCAUGCCUCUAAUCCCAGCACUUUGGGAGGCUGAGGCUGGUGGAUCGCAUCGCUUGAGCUCAUGAGUUUCAGACCAGACUAGGCAACUUGGUGAAACCCCAUCUCUAAAUA
rnacentral:sRNA from 1 species